rnacentral:rRNA from 1 species
UGGGGAAUAUUGCACAAUGGGCGAAAGCCUGAUGCAGCAACGCCGCGUGAGGGACGACGGCCUUCGGGUUGUAAACCUCUUUUAGCAAGGAAGAAGCGAAAGUGACGGUACUUGCAGAAAAAGCGCCGGCUAACUACGUGCCAGCAGCCGCGGUAAUACGUAGGGCGCAAGCGUUAUCCGGAAUUAUUGGGCGUAAAGAGCUCGUAGGCGGUUUGUCGCGUCUGCUGUGAAAACCCGAGGCUCAACCUCGGGCCUGCAGUGGGUACGGGCAGACUAGAGUGCGGUAGGGGAAGAUUGGAACUCCUGGUGUAGCGGUGGAAUGCGCAGAUAUCAGGAAGAACACCGAUGGCGAAGGCAGAUCUCUGGGCCCGUAACUGACGCUGAGGAGCGAAAGGGUGGGGAGCAAACAGGCUUAGAUACCCUGGUAGUCCACCCCGUAAACGUUGGGAACUAGUUGUGGGGUCCAUUCCACGGAUUCCGUGACGCAGCUAACGCAUUAAGUUCCCCGCCU